GAUGAACGCUGGCGGCGUGCUUAACACAUGCAAGUCGAACGGAAAGGCCCUGAGUUUGUGGGUUGCUCGAUAGCCGAACGGGUGAGAAUAACAUGUGGAACCUGCCCUUGUCUUUGGGAUAACUUCAGGAAACUGGGGCUAAUACCGCAUAGAAGAUCCUGCUCCAUAUUGGGGGUUGGAAAGUUUCGGCGGUUGUGGCUAGUUUCGCUGCUUAUCCGCUUGUUGGUGGGGUAGUGGCUGACCAGGGUUUUGACGGGUAGCCGGCCUGAGAGGUGGAACGGCCACAUUGGUACUGCGGGACGGAGCAGAAGCCUACGGGAGGCAGUAGUGGGGAAUAUUGCACAAUGGGCGGAAGCCUGAUGCAGCAACGCCGCGUGCGGGAUGACGGCCUUCGGGUUGUAAACCGCUGUCGCCUGUGCUGAAGCGGGAGUGACGGUAAUGGGUAAAGAAGCAACGGCUAACUACGUG
rnacentral:rRNA from 1 species